AUUCCUCCAAUUUUCCAUUCUUUCUUAACAUUUCAUUAACCAUUGGUUUUUUCCCUAAAACCUUUGAAAACCAAUAAAUCGAAAAACUCCUUUCAUUUCUCAAACUUGUACUUCACUUUUUAUUUUUUUACUUCUAUGUCUGCAUUGGAAAGCCAAAACCCCUACCCGGGGUCCUCGUCCCGAAAUCACCAUCCUUGCAAUUUCCUUGUCUUCUACACAAUUUCUCUUUCUCUCUCUUUCCAACAUUCUUUCGUUUUCUCUCUAACCCUUUCUCUUUUUCGUUCAAACCCUAACGAGUUUGUGAGUAUCAUCGAUGCCUCAUGACGCUGCAAGGCAAUCUCCACUGCAAAUGUUUCGUCAUGUUAAGAAUUUGUUUGCUGAUUAUGGAAAACUCGUCUCCUUUAAGGUCUUACGCAAAGGUCGCAACUAGAACUGGUAUACUCUAAGCCGCAUCCAAUGUUUCUCUACAGAAAGCUCGCACAUGGGACGUAGGUGUUGAAUCCAAGUUCUCCUCUACCCCUGUUAAAGACAUCUUCAAGGACAAGAAAGUUGGGAUCUUUGGUCUCCCAGUAUGUUAACUUGACAAUUUUUUUAUGAAUUUAGUCAUAUUUAAGGUAGUGGUUUUCAUUUUCAUUUUUCAUUUUAUUUGAAAGUCUUGUAAUAUUACCCUGCCAAGAGCUUCCGAUGAUUUUUCUGCAGAUUCUCGCGACUCAAAGGCACUAAUGUUGGAAAGCAAAGGUGAACUAUAUACAUAACUACAAUAAGAUAGUAGUUCUUUAAAAUAAACAAUCAAAAGUUAUUUGUAAAUUUGUGUGUGUGGCUGCACUUUUAUACUUCUCAUUAGUACCAUAUGAUGCAGGUACAAACCUCUUUUCCCUAUUAUAAAUAAAAACUAAUAUGUAUAGUGCUAAUCAUUGACAAAGAUAUUGGAAAUACACAGGAAGCAAAUUUCCACAUAAGCACAUUCAAGAAGAAUUGUCAACACCACUUGCUGCAGCAGCCGAUUUUGAUGAAAAAUGGCAAGGGAGUAUGAUAUUAUUUUAAUUGUUUUGAUGGUUUUGUUUUUUUAAGCUUAAAUUUAUGAUGUUUCAGAUUGAGGACAAGAUCUUGCAAAUUGGAUAGGCAUUUGUUCUAAUGAAUCAGCAUCUUCUUCAGGCUGUGUUGUACACUUUAAUUUGGUCAUCUCUACAAAGAUACUUAACAUUUUGAUUUUUGUUUUGUUGACACAGCACAGCAAUUAUUUCACUGGAUUUUUAAAAAUUGUAUGUUUUCAUUCAUAAAAAUCAUCUCCAUGUUGAUUGUUUCAUUUCUUCUCUAAUAUUUUAGUUUGGAAGAAUAUUGUCAAGACCCCCAUUCUCAUUCAAUGUUACUUCAAGAGAUUCAAGAGAAUGCAGAAAAAAUCCAGCAGGUAACAUUAAAGAUGAGAUUGAAAAUCUAAACUUCAUAGAAGAAAGAAAGAGAAAAUUCAAAACUUCAUAGUAUAAAGAAAGAGAAAAAUCAAAACUUCAUAGAAGAAAGGUAAUAAACAUUACAAAGUGAUGAAUAUUAAUGUAUAAAUAUGUGGGCAGAGGUUUAGAGAUUUUAAUAUUUUCACUAUUUAGUUUUACCUUUGAAAAAAAGUGAUUAUGUGAGUGGUGAAGUUAGUGAUUUUGCAACUUAUCCAUUCAAAUGCUAUAGAUAGUUAUGAUGGUGCUAUCCUUUGAAUUUGAACAUGGUUCUGAUCCAAAUUGUAUACAUUUGCUUGGACAUGGUUAUGAUGGUAUACAUGUUUGCUUUAACA